ACUGAUGGCACAUAAAAUGUAGGUUGCUGUGACCUUGUUCUUCUCCGCAUUUAAGUGCAGGGGUAGUGAGCUUUAAGGGCGGGAGGUGAAGGAUUACUCGGGAGGGUGCCUGUACAGACACUUCCUUUUGCGAGUAUGAUUUGAUGAAGAACAGAGCAAAGGAGAGGAAGAUGUACAAUGAGUUUCACCAUGAAAGCCGCCAGUGCUCCUGACUUGUUUGGCUUCUAGUGGCAUUACUAACCUUCCAAGAACAUUACGACAGAUGUCUCCUUUCAGACUUGGGAUGUUGUGACACAGAGUUUGCUCUCAUACACACUUUGGAGGGAAGUCUUGGAGGUCUCACUGCCUUCAGUAAUGUGUCUAGACUGAUCUUUUUUUGGAUGUGCACAAAUAGGGGUCUUCCCACACAGCCUCUACAAACUCAUGGCUGUGGAUUAAUCCUCAUAGAACCUCAACAGUAAAGCACUGUACAAGAAACAAUCCUAACACUUAAAGGAGUUUUGUAAAGUAGCAGAAUGAUAUUUCCAAAAAUAUUUCGAUAUAUUCUCCCUUAUCGGAGGCUCUUUAAGGAGCAGUUAAGUAACUGACUAAAAGCUAGGAGUUCUGAACAGAUGGACAAUUUUCAUGAUAGAGAGGU
rnacentral:lncRNA from 1 species